UGGGGAAUCUUAGACAAUGGGCGCAAGCCUGAUCUAGCCAUGCCGCGUGAGCGAUGAAGGCCUUAGGGUUGUAAAGCUCUUUUAGUGGGGAAGAUAAUGACUGUACCCACAGAAGAAGCCACGGCUAACUCCGUGCCAGCAGCCGCGGUAAUACGGAGGGGGCUAGCGUUGUUCGGAAUUACUGGGCGUAAAGCGCACGUAGGCGGACUGGAAAGUCAGGGGUGAAAUCCCGGGGCUCAACACCGGAACUGCCUUUGAAACUCCCGGUCUUGAGGUCGAGGGAGGUGGGUGGAAUUCCGAUUGUGGAGAUGAAAUUCGUAGAUAUUCGGAGGAACACCAGUGGCGAGGGCGGCUCACUGGCUCGAUACUGACGCUGAGGUGCGAAGGCGUGGGAAGCAAACG
rnacentral:rRNA from 1 species